AGAAGGAUGCUGGCUGGAAACAAUAGAUGGAUCUGAGUUCUGUAAUCCUAGCACUUCUAGUUCUGCUGCCUUUGUGGAUGCUUCAUUUCUAUGGCCUACUUCAGAGAUCAAUUAUGGUGACUUGGCUUCCAGUCCAUCAAAGAGGAGCAAUCAAGAAGAGGAACAAAUAUCAUUGUUGCCCAGGAGUUCACCCUUGAAUGAAGCCCAUGGCAGAAGUCUGGUUAAUGCACAUUCUCUUGAACAGGACAUAGGUAGUGCCGACAGAUUGGGAAAUAAUAUAACUGAAGGUUCUGAAGUAAGCAGAAGGUGGUGGAUUGGACCAAGAACAAAUCCAGGACCCAAAACUUCUGUAAGGGAUAGAUUAGUUAGAGCGCUUGGAUACAUUAAAGAUUUCACAAAAGAUAAA
rnacentral:misc_RNA from 1 species